GCCUCGGUGGUGGACGGUCCGCACCUGCAUUGAAUUAUUGAACUCCCAGGCGACUAUCGUGCAGGAGACGCUCGUUCGAAUCGGGCCUGGGGCU